CUCGAACCCGAACUCUCACUCACGCCUCUCCCGCCUCCUUCCAUUUGCCCCAAAAAUAUUACGCUUUCUCAAGCUACUGAUUCGCCGCCUCCUUCCAUCAAUAACAACCACCACCCGCCACCUAAGCCGCCUGAACCACACACCACCGGCACCCUCUCACCUCCCUCUACAACCUUCGACCAUUGGCUGCCCACCAGACCGCUAGAAAUAUCACCAAUUCCCAUCCAAAAUCACAAGCGCAAUGACGAUUUUUUCCCAGUUACUUCCAUAUCUGGCCUUUCUCUCAAUCGUGGAGCACCACCACAACAUUCUUCUCAGCCAGGCACAUUUAGUUCUACCAUGGGUCACCUUCAAUUUCUUCCGGAAUCAUCUGAGCUUGUUGGAGCAGUUCGUGAGAUUUGUGAAAAAUUUAGGUCCAACAAAUUUGAUGAGUUAGUUCAACAAUUGAUUUGCAUGAUUUUAUCUUUUUUUUUUUUUUUGGUUACUUAUUCUCUGUAUUUGUGCCGUUUUAUUAUACAACGUUGGCAAUCCAAAGGUGCAAGCACUGGGAGCACCGUAAUUAAGGUAAAUUAGUUAUUUACUAUAUUUGAUUUGAACUGAAAAUUCAUGACUUCAUUCAAAAAUCCACGAGUAAUUCUCUUUAAUUCAUAAACAGUUUUCUUUGAUUAGAUUGAUAACUGUAUAACGUUCCAAUCCAGCUGUAACACAAUUUAGUUAGCAUGGUAGUUAGCUGUGAUAGUUAGUUAGCCACGUGUAAUCUUCACAUUGGAUGUAAUAGUUAGUUACUUGAAUGUAUAUUCAGUUUGCUUGCUAGAGAUCUAUUUAUAUUCGAGAUUUGUAAUCCAUUUCACUUGAAUGAGAAUAAAUUCCUCUUCAUUUCAAUAUGGUAUCAAAGCAAUAAUUUGCUUCCUUUUUCAUUGUAAUAAUUUGCACGUCUUUGAAACAAAAUGGUAGAAGCUGUAAAUCAAAACCAAUCCUUCAAUUCAUCUUCCUACUCGAUGAGCAAUUCCACCAUAGAGGAUGGAUCGAGCCCCUACUUUCUGCAUCAUUCUGAUAAUCCAGGUUUGGUUCUUGUUUCCCAACCUUUGAUAGGAGAGAACUAUGCUUCCUGGAGUCGUGCUAUAUACAUAGCUUUAUCUAUGAAGAAUAAGAUAGGAUUUAUCAUUGGAUCCAUACUGAAACCUAAGGAGAAUGAAGAUUUGUUGAAUGCCUGGAUCUGAAACAAUAACAUUGUGAUUUCAUAGAUUCUUAACUCAGUUUCCAAAGAUAUUUCAGCUGGCGUUAUCUAUGCUGAAUCUGCUCAAGAAAUUUGGGAUGAUCUCAAGGAGAGAUAUCAACAAAAGAAUGCUCCUCAUAUAUAUCAGUUGAGGAGAUAACUGAUGAACAUUACCCAAAGUCAAUCUUCUGUAAGUGUGUAUUUUACAAAGUUGAAAACCAUUUGGGAGGAGCUCAGCAAUUACAGACCAAUAUGUACGUGUGGAAAGUGCAAUUGUGGGGGAACGAAGAAGCUGACAGAUCCCUACCAUAUGGAGUAUGUUAUGUCUUUCUUAAUGGGGCUAAAUGAUUCAUUUGCUCAGGUGCCAGGUCAGUUGUUGAUGAUGGACCCUCUUCCCUCCGUAAACAAAGGAUUCACACUCAUAUCUCAAGAAGAACAACAAAGGAGCUUCAAUGCGAACAUUAAUGCUGCUGGUAACACUGAUUCAAUGGCAUUCCAAGUUAAGAAUGAUGCCAAACGGUACAACAAAAUUCAGAGGAGGGAGAGACCUGUUUGUACUUAUGGCGGAUACACAGGGCAUGAAGUGGAUAAAUGUUAUAAAAUUGCACGGUUACCCACCUGGAUUCAAAAUAAAGUAGAAAUCAACCUCUAGCAAUCAAGUAAACCAUGCCAUUUCAAACCAAGUCUCUGAAUCUUUUUCUGAGAGCAAGCAUGUGGCAAUGUUGGAAACUUUAUGCAGACUUUAAAUUCCAAUCAAUAUCAGCAAUUGAUGAACAUGUUAAGCAAUCACCUAACAAACGCCAAGCUUGAUACUGAUGCAAGGGUUAAUUCUGGACAUAUUUCAUGUACAUGUUUAUAUAUAUUUCAUCAUCCAACAAUUAAUUCCAAAACCUGCUGGAUGGUGGACUCAAGUGCCACAAGUUAUAUUUGCUACAAUAAGUCAGCUUUCCACAUGAUGAAACCAAUUCAGAAUGCAUAUAUUACAUUGCAAAAUAAUGAAAGACUUCCUGUUCAUUUUAUUUGCACUGUGAGAAUUAACUCAAAUUUGGUGAUUGAAGAUGUAUUGUGUGUUCCUAUGUUCAAAUUCAACCUCCUAUCUGUCAGUUCCAUAACCGGGAAAUCUUCUAUAAAUGUCAUCUUUCUCACUAAUUCUUGCAUUACAUAGGAGCUCAACAGCUUGAAGACGAUUGGCAAGGGUAAAAGGAUAGGUGAUUUAUACAUAUUGGAUGCUGCCAACCUUCUUCUAUUCAAAGUAGUAGCAAUUUGUUUCCAGUUUGUUCUGCAGUCAAUAAUGCAACUUUCAAUACAUGACAUAACAGACUUGGUCAUUUGUCAUUCCAAAGGCUAGAAUUGUUAAAAGACAGU
rnacentral:lncRNA from 1 species